rnacentral:rRNA from 1 species
CGACCGGCGCACGGGUGAGUAACGCGUAUGCAACUUACCUAUCAGGAGGGGGAUAGCCGGCGAAAGUCGGAUUAAUACCCCAUAAAACAGGGGUCCCGCAUGGGAAUAUUUGUUAAAGAUUCAUCGCUGAUAGAUAGGCAUGCGUUUCAUUAGGCAGUUGGCGGGGUAACGGCCCACCAAACCGACGAUGGAUAGGGGUUCUGAGAGGAAGGUCCCCCACAUUGGUACUGAGACACGGACCAA